rnacentral:rRNA from 1 species
UACGGAGGGGGCUAGCGUUGUUCGGAAUUACUGGGCGUAAAGCGCACGUAGGCGGCUUUGUAAGUUAGAGGUGAAAGCCCAGGGCUUAACCCUGGAAUUGCCUUUAAGACUGCAUCGCGUAGAAUCGUGGAGAGGUGAGUGGAAUUCCGAGUGUAGAGGUGAAAUUCGUAGAUAUUACGGAAGAACACCAGUGGCGAAGGCGACUCACUGGACACGUAAUUGACGCUGAGGUGGCGAAAGCGUGG